rnacentral:tRNA from 1 species
GUGGUUGUGGCUCAGUGGUAGAGCACUUGCCUAUCAUGUAUGAGGUGUUGGGUUCAAUCCUCAGCACCACA